rnacentral:rRNA from 1 species
AACUGCAUUUGAUACUGGCAAACUAGAGUAUGGUACACCAAUGGGGAAUUUCUGGUGUAGCGGUGAAAUGCGUAGAGAUCAGAAGGAACACCAAUGGCGAAGGCAACAUUCUGGACCAAUACUGACACUGAGGGACGAAAGCGUGGGGAUCAAACAGGAUUAGAUACCCUGGUAGUCCACGCUGUAAACGAUGAGUACUAGCUGUUGGAUUCGGUGUAAAGGAUCUAGUGGCGUAGCUAACGCGUUAAGUACUCCGCCUGGGGACUACGGCCGCAAGGCUAAAACUCAAAGGAAUUGACGGGGACCCGCACAAGCGGUGGAGCAUGUGGUUUAAUUCGAUGCAACGCGAAGAACCUUACCUGGUCUUGACAUCCUGCGAACUUUCUAGAGAUAGAUUGGUGCCUUCGGGAACGCAGUGACAGGUGCUGCACGGCUGUCGUCAGCUCGUGUUGUGAAAUGUUGGGUUAAGUCCCGCAACGAGCGCAACCCCUAUUGAUAGUUACCAUCAUUAAGUUGGGUACUCUAUUGAGACUGCCGCUGACAAGGCGGAGGAAGGUGGGGACGACGUCAAGUCAUCAUGGCCCUUACGACCAGGGCUACACACGUGCUACAAUGGGUAUUACAGAGGGCAGCGAAGUAGCGAUAUGGAGCGAAACUCAGAAAGGUACUCUUAGUCCGGAUUGCAGUCUGCAACUCGACUGCAUGAAGUCGGAAUCGCUAGUAAUCGCAGGUCAGAAUACUGCGGUGAAUACGUUCCCGGGGUCUUGUA